rnacentral:lncRNA from 1 species
UGGGGCUCCACUUUGGGGUGACCAAAACUUCCCACCACACACACACACAUACAUACAAGGCUCCACUUCAGGGUGACCAAAACUUCCCCAACACACACACACACACACACACACACACACACGACUUGUGUUGCUAUCGCUGCAGGUUUAUGUGCGAAGCACGUGUCCUCUGGAGGGGGGCCCUCGGGAGGUGGCUCGGGGCAGCCCAAGGACCCCAUGACGGGCAGGCUGAGCAGCUCCCAUGUUGCCUCCUGUCGACCCUCAGGAAUUUCUCAGUGGAGAUGUACUUUCGGAACGAGAGUGACAAGGCCCCCUGGCCGCUCAGCC